CCUACGGGUGACAGCAGUGAGGAAUAUUGGUCAAUGGACGAGAGUCUGAUCCAGCCAAGUCGCGUGAAGGAUGACUGCCCUAUGGGUUGUAAACUUCUUUUAUAAAGGAAUAAAACGCGGCACGUGUGCCUUUUUGCAUGUACUUUAUGAAUACGGAUCGGCUAACUCCGUGCCAGCAGCCGCGGUAAUCCGGAGGAUCCGAGCGUUAUCCGGAUUUAUUGGGUUUAAAGGGAGCGUAGAUGGGGUGUUAAGUCAGGUGUGAAAGUUUGCGGCUCAACCGUAAAACUGAAAUUGAUACUGGCAGUCUGGAGUACAGUAGAGGCAGGCGGAAUUCGUGGUGUAGCGGUGAAAUGCUUAGAUAUCACGAAGAACCCCGAUUGCGAAGGCAGCUUACUAAACUGUGACUGACAUUGAUGCUCGAAAGUGUGGGUAGCAAACAGGAUUAGAUACCCGGGUAGUC
rnacentral:rRNA from 1 species